AUGGGGACAGCCCUGAGCCAUCCAUGGGGACACCCCAACCCCUCUAUGGGGACAGCCCUGAGCCACCCCCCCAUGGAUGAGUCCCUAUGUCCCUUUAUGGGUCCCUAUGGGUCCAUAUAUGUCCCUAUAUGUCCCUCUAUGGAUCCCUAUUGUCCCUAUGUGUCCCCCUAUGGGUCCAUAUAUGUCCCUAUGUGUCCCUAUGUAUCCCUACAUGUCCCUAUGGUCCCUACGUGUCCCUAUGGUCCCUGUGUGUCCCUAUGGGUCCCUAUGUCCCUCUAUGGGUCCCUACAUGUCCCUAUGGUCCCUAUGUGUCCCUAUGAGUCCCUAUGUCCCUCUAUGUGUCCCUAUGUGUCCAUAUAUGUCCCUAUGUGUCCCCCUAUGGGUCCAUAUAUGUCCCUAUGUGUCCCUAUGGUCCCUAUGUGUCCCUAUGUCCCUCUACGUCCCCCUGUGUCCCUCUAUGGGUCUCUAUGGUCCCUAUGUGUCCCUGUGUGUCCCUAUAGUCUCUAUGUGUCCCUAUGUGUCCCUGUGGGUCCCUAUGUCCCUCUAUGUGUCCCUAUGUGUCCCUACAUGUCCCUAUGGUCCCUACGCGUCCCUAUGUGUCCCUAUGAGUCCCUAUGUCCCUCUAUGUGUCCCUAUGGGUCCAUAUAUGUCCCUAUGUGUCCCUAUGUAUCCCUACAUGUCCCUAUGGUCCCUACGUGUCCCUAUGGUCCCUGUGUGUCCCUAUGGGUCCCUAUGUCCCUCUAUGGGUCCCUACAUGUCCCUAUGGUCCCUAUGUGUCCCUAUGAGUCCCUAUGUCCCUCUAUGUGUCCCUAUGUGUCCAUAUAUGUCCCUAUGUGUCCCCCUAUGGGUCCAUAUAUGUCCCUAUGUGUCCCUAUGGUCCUAUGUGUCCCUAUGUCCCUCUACGUCCCCCUGUGUCCCUCUAUGGGUCUCUAUGGUCCCUAUGUGUCCCUGUGUGUCCCUAUAGUCUCUAUGUGUCCCUAUGUGUCCCUGUGGGUCCCUAUGUCCCUCUAUGUGUCCCUAUGUGUCCCUACAUGUCCCUAUGGUCCCUACGCGUCCCUAUGUGUCCCUAUGAGUCCCUAUGUCCCUCUAUGUGUCCCUAUGGGUCCAUAUAUGUCCCUAUGUGUCCCUAUGUAUCCCUACAUGUCCCUAUGGUCCCUACGUGUCCCUAUGGUCCCUGUGUGUCCCUAUGGGUCCCUAUGUCCCUCUAUGGGUCCCUACAUGUCCCUAUGGUCCCUAUGUGUCCCUAUGGUCCCUAUGUGUCCCUAUGUCCCUCUAUGUGUCCCUACAUGUCCCUAUGGUCCCUAUGUCCCCCUAUGGUCCCUAUGGGUCCCUAUGUCCCUCUGUGGGUCCCUAUGUAUCCCUAUGUGUCCCUUUGUGUCCCUAUGGUCCCUAUGGUCCCUAUGUCCCUCUAUGGGUCCCUACAUGUCCUAUGUCCCCCUAUGGUCCCCUAUGAGUCCCUAUGGUCCCUAUGGUCCCUACAUGUCCCUAUGUGUCCCUAUGUGUCCCUAUGGGUCCCUAUGGUCCCUAUGUGUCCCUAUGUGUCCCUAUGUGUCCCUAUGGGUCCCUAUGUGUCCCUAUGGGUCCCUAUGGUCCCUAUGGUCCCUAUGAGUCCCUAUGUCCCUCUACAUGUCCCUACAUGUCCCUAUGUGUCCCUAUGUGUCCCUAUGGGUCCCUAUGGUCCCUAUGUGUCCCUAUGUGUCCCUAUGUCCCUGUAUGUGUCCCUAUGUGUCCCUAUGGUCCCUAUGUGUCCCUAUGGUCCCUAUGAGUCCCUAUGUCCCUCUAUGUGUCCCUAUGUGUCCAUAUAUGUCCCUAUGUGUCCCUGUGGUCCCUAUGUGUCCCUAUAGGUCUCUAUGGUCCCUAUGUGCCCCUAUGUCCCACUAUGUCCCCCUGUGUCCCUCUAUGGGUCUCUAUGGUACCUAUGUGACCCUGUGUGUCCCUACAUGUCCCUACAUGUCCCUACAUGUCCCUAUGUGUCCUAUGUGUCC
rnacentral:lncRNA from 7 species